GACGAACGCUGGCGGCGUGCUUAACACAUGCAAGUCGAACGGAAAGGCCCUGCUCUUGUGGGGUGCUCGAGUGGCGAACGGGUGAGUAACACGUGAGUAACCUGUCCUUGACUUUGGGAUAACUCCAGGAAACUGGGGCUAAUACCGGAUAGGAGCUCUUGCUGCAUGGUGGGGGUUGGAAAGUUUCGGCGGUUGGGGAUGGACUCGCGGCUUAUCAGCUUGUUGGUGGGGUAGUGGCUUACCAAGGUUUUGACGGGUAGCCGGCCUGAGAGGGUGACCGGCGACAUUGGGACUGCGAGACGGCCCAGACUCCUACGGGAGGCAGCAGUGGGGAAUAUUGCGCAAUGGGCGGAAGCCAGAUGCAGCAGCGCCGCGUGCGGGAUGACGGCCUUCGGGUUGUAAACCGCUUUCGCCUGUGACGAGGCGUGAGUGACGGUAAUGGGUAAAGAAGCACCGGCUAACUACGUG
rnacentral:rRNA from 1 species